AUCCAGCUGACCAGUCCCGCAGGGACGAAACGUGCGUUCUAGAU
rnacentral:hammerhead_ribozyme from 1 species